GAUGAACGCUGGCGGCGUGCCUAAUACAUGCAAGUCGAGCGAACAGAUGAGGAGCUUGCUCCUCUGACGUUAGCGGCGGACGGGUGAGUAACACGUGGAUAACCUACCUAUAAGACUGGGAUCACUUCGGGAAACCGGAGCUUAUACCGGAUAAUAUAUUGAACCGCAUGGUUCGAUAGUGAAAGACGGUUUUGCUGUCACUAAUAGAUGGAUCCGCGCCGCAUUAGCUAGUUGGUAAGGUAAAGGCUUACCAAGGCAACGAUGCGUAGCCGACCUGAGAGGGUGAUCGGCCACACUGGAACUGAGACACGGUCCAGACUACUACGGGAGGCAGCAGUAGGGAAUCUGCCGCAAUAGGGGAAAGCCUGACGGAGCAACGCCGCGUGAGUGAUGAAGGUCUUCGGAUCGUAAAACUCUGUUAUUAGUGAAGAACAAAUGUGUAAGUAACUAUGCACUUCUUGACGGUAACGGAUCAGAAAGCCACGGCUAACUACGUG
rnacentral:rRNA from 1 species